UACAGAGGUCUCAAGCGUUGUUCGGAAUUACUGGGCGUAAAGCGUGCGCAGGCGGUUAUGCAAGACAGAUGUGAAAUCCCCGGGCUCAACCUGGGAACUGCAUUGGUGACUGGCAGGCUAGAGUAUGGCAGAGGGGGGUAGAAUUCCACGUGUAGCAGUGAAAUGCGUAGAGAUGUGGAGGAAUACCGAUGGCGAAGGCAGCCCCCUGGGCCAAUACUGACGCUCAUGCGCGAAAGCGUGGGGAGCAAACAGG
rnacentral:rRNA from 1 species